rfam:Macaca mulatta chromosome 18, whole genome shotgun sequence.
CAGAGCUGUGGAGUGUGACAAUGGUGUUUGUGUCUAAACUAUCAAACGCCAUUAUCACACUAAAUAGCUACUA